CCUGGAGUUCCAAGUGCCACCAAAGAAAAGCACAGGUGGGGCUAUCUAAACGGAGCCUCCAUGGGAACUGGGCAAAUGUGCCCCUUAACAGGCCUUAUGCCCACCCCCAGGAAAUCUGUCAUAAUAUAUGGAUCUUGUCAGAACAAUACACUUUGCUGUAUCUGACAUAAACAAUCAUCACAAUCAAUACACGAUAUAAGUGGGUAUUUGAACAAUAUCCCCUUAUACAAGUGGCUCCCUUGUGCAGUGUCCGACCUGUGCCACUGUAAGUCACAGUCCUGAGGGUUGACCCACACUGAAGUUUGAGUUUUCUCUAAAUGCUAAAGAAAGGUGAGCAAAACCAGGGGUUAGAGUGGGUGUUGGACAACACAGUUUUAAACCAAUCUAUAGUUCACAUAUUCAAAAUGGAAAAUCUCUCUAAAAGUUUGACCUAAAAAAAUCCCUCAGCAUGUAAAGAAUCAUGAUAUCCAGUCACAAAUGGUUUUAGAGCAGGAGUCCAGAGCCUUUUUUUUUUUUUUUUUGAGACAGAGUCUCACUCUGUCACCCAGGCUGGGGUGCAGUGGUGUGAUCUCGGCUCACUGCAGCCUCUGCCUCCUGUGUUCAAGCGAUUCUCCUGCCUCAGCCUCCUGUGUAGCUGGGAUUACAGGUACCCACCACCACGUCUAGCUAAUUUUUGUAUUUUUAGUAGAGACGGGAUUUUACCAUGUUGGCCAGGCUGGUCUCCAAUUCCUGACCUCAAGUGAUCUGCCCGCCUCUGCCUUUCAAAGUGCUGAAAUUACAGGCGUGAGCCACCACACCCAGCCCAGAGCCAUUUUAAGCAUAUUUUAGUCCUUAGGAAAAUUUGAGCUAAGAUAGCACUGGCUCCAAGCCACUGUCCCAGGAUGAAAGAAGACACAGAGCAGGACUGUGAAUCAGCAACCAGUGCCUUCCAGGGAGCAACAAUUACUAACAGAAGAUUUACAAUCCUGUGGACAAGAAGCAUCCCCUAUCCAGCAUCCUUCUGCCACCAGACAUUACUCUUCUGCUUAGUGACAGAAGAGAACAAUACCUUUUCCCUUUAAUGAAGCUACCCAUGUCCUAUCAGGCAGACACUCUGGGCAGUAAGUCUUCCACUGACAUACACUCAAGGCCGAGGGUGACUGGUUCAGGUUUGGUGAGUACCUGGGGCAAGAAGGUCUAAACUGCUUUUCAGCAUCCUUUGGAUUUUCUCUAAAAAAAAUGAAUAUAGGCUCUAGGAGCUCUCUAUAUAUUCUAGAUGUUAAUCUCUUAUCAGAUAUGUGAUCUGAAAAUAUUUUCUCUCAUUCUGUUGCUUACCUUUUUAUUUUGUUAAUAGUGUCCUUUGAUGCACAAAAGUUUUUCAUUUUGAUGAUGUCCAAUUUUUCUAUUUUUUAUUUUGUUCCCUGUGCCUUUGCUGUCAUAGCUAAGAAAUCAUUAUCAGAUCCAAUGUCGUGAAUCUUUCCCCCUGAUUGAUUGACUGAUUUGAGACAGGGUCUUUGCUCCAUCACCCAGACUCCAUGUCAGCAGAACAAAACAAAACAAAUUAGCCAGGUGUAGUGGUGCAUGCCUGUGAUCCCAGCUACUUGGGGGGCUGAAGUGGGAGAAUUUCUUGAGCCAAAGAACUUGAGGCUGCAGUGAGCCAAGAUCCCGCCACUGUGCUCCAGGUUAGGUGACAAAAUGAGACGCUGUCUCAAAAAAAUAAAACAAAAGUCUAUGUAAAAUUUUUAAAAUUUUUAUCUGGGAAAUAAACAUGACUUCAUAAAGACAUCCUCUUAGGAGUAUAAGCACACAUAAACUAUGGACUCCAUUUGUAAUUCAAAGAAAGCUUUACAGAAUCAUCCUUGUGGAAUCCAUUGGAUGAAUUGCAGGGAUGAGGGGUGUUUACUGAGCAAACCAACGGAGAGGAGAGGCAGGCAGGGCACUGGGAUAGAGUCAGCUACGUAUUGACUGACACCUGCUUUUUUUUUUCUUUUUUUUGAGACGGAGUCUCGCUCUGUCGCCCAGGCUGGAGUGCAGUGGCACGAUCUCGGCUUACUGCAACCUCCACCUCCCAGGUUCAUGCCAUUCUCCUGCCUCAGCCUGCCGAGUGGCUGGGACCACAGGCGCCCACCACCAUGCCCGUCUAAUUUUUUGUAUUUUUUUUUUUUUUUUUUUAGUAGAGACGGGAUUUCACCACGUUAGCCAAGAUGGUCUCCAUCUCCUGAUCUCGUGAUCCGCCCUCCUUGGCUUCCCAAAGUGCUGGGAUUACAGGCGUGAGCCACCGCGCCCGGCCUGGCACCUGCUUCUUUUAAUUCAUGAGCCUGAGUGUUUCAAGCCCACACAGCCAAUCUGAUGCCGUCCUCAUAACCCUGUGAUGGGACGGAUCAUGUCUAAACUGCCCAUGCAGAAGAAUACAACUUAGAAAAGUCACUUGAAGAACUCAAUCACGUUUACUGCUGGGAGGGAGGGAUAAAGGUCAUUUUCCUUCAUAAUUAUAAGAUACAAUAAUUAACCUGGUUAGUUACAUGAUGAAUCAUUGAGAGCAUUAUCAGAGGCUAUGUUAAGCCUUAGCCUUUCUAAAUUAUUUUAUUUCCCUAACUAUUAGAAAUACAGUGAAAGUCUGAGUAGACUGCUUAUCUAUUACAUUUAACCCUUUUUUUUUUUUUUUUUUUUUUUUUUUUUUUUUUUUUUGAGACGGAGUCUCGCUCUGUCGCCCAGGCUGGAGUGCAGUGGCACAAUCUGGGCUCACUGCAAGCUCCAGUUCCCAAGUUCCCACCAUUCUCCUGCCUCAGCCUCCCAAGUAGCUGGGACUACAGGCGCCCGCCACCACGCCCGGCUAAUUUUUGUGUAUUUUUAGUAGAGACGGGGUUUCACCGUGUUAGCCAGGAUGGUCUCGAUCUCCUGACCUCGUGAUCCGCCCGCCUCGGCCUCCCAAAGUGCUGGAAUUACAGGCAUUAAGAAAUUACAACUAUUUCUUAACUUAAGAAAGUUUAAUAUUGGCCGGGCGCGGUGGCUCACGCCUGUAAUCCCAGCACUUUG
rnacentral:lncRNA from 1 species